ACAAAUUCAUGGAAGGAGGGUACAGAUUGCUGCUCAUGGGAUGGGGUCACUUGUGACCACCUAAAUGCUCAUGUUAUUGCCCUUGACUUGAGCUGCAGUUGGCUAUAUGGCAACUUCCCUUCCAAUACCACUCUCUUCCUUCUUCCUCACCUUCAAAAACUCAACCUUGCCUACAAUGAUUUUAAUCUUUCCAAAAUUCCAUCCGAGUUCGGUCGGUUUACAAGCCUAUUCUACCUCAACCUUUCCCAUACAGAGUUUGAAGGAGAAGUCCCAUCCCAAGUCUCCCACCUGUCAAAAUUGGUUUCACUUGAUCUCUCCUCUCGGAUUGAUUACUCUGGGCAAGUUACAAUUGACAAACAUGCUCUGGAGGGACUUGUUCACAACCUAACCGAGGUCAGACAUCUGUUUUUGGAUGGAAUGGACAUGUCUUCUGUUAAUGCUCAUGUCUUCAUGAAUCUAUCCUCUUCUCUAAGGUCUCUCAGUCUUGCUUAUUGUGAUUUGCAAGGAAAAUUCCUAAAAAACAUUAUUGAUUUGCCAAACCUCAAUCUCCUCAACUUGGGACGUAACCAAAACCUCAAUCUUGAUCCUUUGAAGUUCAAUCGGAGCAGCAAUCUCGAACAUUUGGAUCUGUCGUGGAUGUCCUUCUCUACAGAAUCCGUUAAUUCAGUUGAUAAUCUACAGGCCUUAAAGUACUUAGAUCUAUCAGGAAAUUCUUUCUUUCAAGGAUUGUCUGUCUCAAUCACAAAUUUAUCAUCUUUGGAGCAAUUGAUAAUUUCAGGCGCAAAUUUUUUUGGAGGAUUGCCUGACUCGAUGGGGAAUCUUGUGUCCUUGAAGUUUUUAUUUCUCUCCGAUUCCAACUUUUCAGGACCGCUUCCAAGAUCACUGGGAAACCUCUUUCAACUCAAGUGUUUAGACUUGAGAUCAAACAAAUUGAGUGGACAAAUUCCAUUGUCAAUUCUAAACCUAACGCAGUUGGAAUACUUGGAAAUAUCUGAAAAUUCUUUAGAAGGUUCCAUUCCAGAUGAGGUAACCGCUUUUCCUAAUCUAAUAUAUUUAUACUUAUCUGACAAUUUACUCAGUGGAACACUUCCGUCAUGGUUGUAUACUGCUCCCUCAUUAGACAGUAUAGGUCUCUCUCAAAAUCAAUUCAGUGGGCAUAUCAAAGAAUUCCAAUCCAAAUCACUAGAAUUGAUAGCGUUAGAGAGUAAUAAACUCCAAGGUCCUCUUCCAUCUUCAAAAUUCCAACUUCUCAAUCUUACCCACCUCUCUUUAUCCUCAAGUAAUCUCAGUGGUGUCAUAGAGUUUCGCAUGUUCUCAAACCUUCCAAAUCUAAAACUUCUUGACCUUUCAUACAACAGCCUAUCCUUAGCAUCUAAUACUACUUCUUGUGUUAACCAUAUAUUGCCUAAUCUUACAGACUUACGUUUGUCAUCUUGCAAUCUUAGUGAAUUCCCCCAAUUUUUGAAAGGGCUUAAAAGUUUGAAAAGGUUAGACCUCUCUUGCAACAAAAUUGAAGGCAAGAUUCCACAGUGGAUGCAAGAGGUGGGGAAUGGCUCUUUGACUUACUUAAACGUAUCUCACAACUAUUUGACAGAAGUUGAGCACUUUCCACGGAAGAAUAUUGAAGUUCUUGACUUAAGCUCCAAUUUGAUCAGUGGAAAUCUUCCGAUUCCAGCUUCGACCAUCAAUGUCUUUUUGAUCUCAAAUAAUAGUUUCAAUGGAGAGGUCUCUUCUUUAAUAUGCAAUGCCAGUUAUCUUAAAAUUCUUGAUUUGUCCCACAAUAACUUGAGUGGAACAAUUCCGCAAUGUUUUGGAAAUUUGAGCAACAGCCUUCAAUUCUUGAAUCUGAAGAAGAACAAGUUCUAUGGGACGAUUCCUCCAACAUUUGCAGAGGGAUGCCAAUUGACUAAUUUCAACAUAAAUGGAAAUCUGUUAGAAGGGCCUUUGACACCAUCCAUCCUUAAUUGUAAUGAACUGGAAGUGCUAGAUCUUGGUAACAACAAGAUCAAUGAUACAUUUCCUCAUUGGUUGGGCAGUCUUCCAUUUUUGCAAGUUCUUGUAUUGAAGUCAAAUCAUAUGCAUGGUUCCUUGCGUGUCAAUAGCUCCAAGUCUAGCCCUUUUUUCUCUAAAAUCCAAAUUUUUGAUCUCUCGAGUAAUUAUUUUUCUGGACCUCUACCUGUGAGAUACAUCAACAGCUUCAAGGCUAUCAUAAAUCUAGAUAAGAUUGGGAGUACAAUGUCGUACAUGGGGGUGUAUGCUCAGAGAGGUAGUGGCUUCUAUACCUAUUCCAUUGGAAUUGUUAUGAAAGGACAAGAUAUGGAAUUGGUGAAAAUUUUCACCAUGUGGAUGAUCAUUGAUCUAUCAAACAAUCAGUUUGAAGGGUGUAUUCCAGAGGUUUUUGGGAAGCUUAACUUACUGAAAGGGCUCAACCUUUCUCAUAACAACCUUCAUGGUGGUAUCCCCACCUCAAUAGGGAAUUUGACAAGUCUUGAAUGGUUGGACCUAUCUUCAAACAGGUUGUCUGGGACGAUUCCAAAUAGAUUGGCAGAUCUGGCAUUUCUUUCGUCCUUCAAUGUUUCUGAUAAUCAGCUCCAUGGUCAGAUUCCUCAAGGCAAACAGUUCAACACAUUUGGAAAUGAUUCAUAUGAAGGAAACAAGGGAUUAUGUGGAUUUCCAGUCUCGAAAGGUUGCAACAUCAUUGAGCCACCACCUCCAAAUGUGCUUGAAAAAGAUGGCUCAAAAUCAAACAUUACUUUUGGUUGGAAAGUGGUGUUGAUAGGUUAUGGAUGCGGAGUGGUGUUGGGAAUGUCCGUGGGAUAUGUUGUUUUCCAAACUGGUAAGCCGAAAUGGUUGGUGAAUUUGGUUGAAAUCCAACAUGAGAAGAAGCAAAGACGAAAGUCAAAGAAAGGCAAUCGAAGCAAUAGACGAAGAAGGAUCUAAGUACAGCAAAUGAUGUUCAAGAAUUAGUGUUGUAUUUUCAAAAUUUCUUGUUCUGUAGACCGUUUUGCCCAUGGUGAAGGGUUGCAUUGGUAUGUGUAUGUCUUUAUUAUUGUACCAAUUCCUGUCUUUCAUUGCAUUUCGUACUAUCUGUAAUGGUUUGUUUGAGUGUAACAUUUUGUAUGGUAUUGUUGUUUAUGUCUUCUUUCAUGACUUUCCAUUUAGUCUCGAUAAUCUUUGCUACUGCUCAGUAAAGGAGGAAGGAGAAUAAAAUGUCUCAAUUUAUGUCAAUUUAUGCUUGCAGAUUUGACGUGGAAUGUUGUUGAACUGAAGGUUGUUUAACUUUUGUCUUCUAAGCUAUACAUGAACAUAUGGGAUGUGACAAAUAUUAUUUUAGCUUUUGCUUAUGAAAUGUUGAAAUAGUGAGUUUAUAUUCCUUGAUUAAUAAAAAGUGAGAUGGAGAUAGUCAAACCUCAAUUUCCACAUUGAAAUUGAAUCCAAACAUUAAUUGGUGGAUCACAUGUCUUGUAUUCUGUCAAGUUAAAGGGAGUGAAUAGAGCACCAUUCUUCUUCUGCGUGGAAAAUAAGUUGGCGUUAUGCCAAUUUUCACAUUCAUACAUAUAAAGGAAGCAAGACCAAGUCAAUAUACUUUGUAAUCUCAUCAUUUCUUCUUCAUUCUUUAGGGAGUUCAAAUGAAAUACAAAUUUUUGGUAAAUCAACUCUUCUUUUUUAUGAAUAAAAAUUAUAUGGUAAAAAGGAAGUGGUGUUAAUAAUAAUAAUAAUAAUAAUAAUAACAACAACAAUACAAAACUAAUAAAGCAAUUUAGUCUAUGAUUUGCACAAUGAUUAAUGUAGCGACCUAAAAAUUUAGGCACGAGCGCUAAUUGAAGUGAUUAUUGAAAAUUUGAAAACAGAAUCUCGAUUUUAUUUGAAAAAGGAGUCGCUAUCGAUCUUUUUUUCUAGGUGUGAUCGGACACCUAAUAAAUUCUCUUUUUAGAAGAAAAAUUUAUUUUUAAAUUUUUCUAAAAAUAGGUAAUUUUUCUAAAAAAUUUAGGGGUCAAAAUGUAAUUUUUUAUUUUUUGAAUUUUUUUUGAAAUUUAAAAAAAUAUAUAUAUAUAAACACGACAAAACCCGGACAAAAUUUAGUGCUUACAAUUAAUACCUAAUUUGAUCCUUGAAUUAUAGUUCAAAAAGUAUUUUUAUAUUUUUAAAUUUUCAUAAAAAUAAUUGUAUCAAAAUUUAAAAAUCUUAAAAAUAAAUACAAAUUUUAUAUAAAAAAUCAAUUGGCCCAAGAAAAAAAAUUUACCAACUAAAUUUUCCAUAUCCAAACUCAUAAAUAAUUCUUCUUUGAACUUUCACAAAAAAAUAUUAAAUACCCUUUCACUUUAUCAUUAUAAAUAUAAUAUACAUUUUUUUCCUUCUUUUUCAUGUAGAUCAGCUUCAACUCUACUAUUCUUAGAUCAUUAUAAAUAUAAUAUAUGUUUUAUUUACAGCUGAAAGUAAAACCUUGAGUUGAAAUUUGGCAGAAAAAAUUGUGGGUUUGGAGAAGAAGAAGAGCACUUUGUAUUUAAAUUUAAAAAAUCAAAAAUUUCAAAACUGAAAGUUACUCAAAACCCUAAACAAUCUAAUAAUUGGAGUUAUAGAAAAGAAAUAUGAGUUUAGAAAUAAAUAAAACAAAAUAAAUUUGCAAAACAAUUUCUAGGCAAAACAACAUGAAGUUGUUGAUGUGAUUGAAGGUGUUCUUCAACGGUGGAAAACAAAUAGAAUUUAAUUUGAAAAUUUUAAGAUUUUUUAAAUAAUAAAAAAUUGCAUUAGUUUAAAAACUUUAGUUUUAAUUUUAAGAUAUUUUUAGAUUUAUACAUAUUUAAUUAUUUUUAGAUUUUUUAGAUUUAAAUGAAGUUACAAUUAUUUUUGAAAACGGUACCUCUACAUUUUUGAAGGUACAAGGAAAUAAAAUAUGGAUUUGGUAUCGAUACUUCGGCCCGAGUAUCAAUGCUCGAGGUAAGUUUAUUGAUACCUUGCGAAAGGUACCAAUAAUUUUUUUAUAUUUUGAUAUUUGGUAAGAAACAUAAUGUUAGUUUGGUAUCGAUUUUCCAUGAGAUAUCAAUACCACUUAAAGAAAAUAUCGAUAGCCCUAGGACAGUAUCAAUACCUAUGUAACAGUUUUAGAAAUUUUGCAACUGGGCCCAUUUGUAGGUUUGAUUGAUGUUUUUAAUACCCUUAGUGUAUGUAUGGCAUGUUUUAAUGAUAAGAAGUGGUUGAACGACUACAACUCAUACGUAGGAUUGAAUAAAGAUGAUGAUUGGUUACUUGUGAAAUUGUUUGCUAAGUAAAUGAUGCAUGAUGGUGGUGUAACAUCCUAAUAUUUCGGCUUGGCGACUGAGCCGAGUAUAGGGUGUUACAAUGUGUUCCACAAGUUUCAUCAGCAAUCCUCAAUGCAUCUAAUUAAUUGGGAAAAUUGAGAAAAUAGAAAUGGUCAAGAAGAUGUAACAUGAUGAGUACCUCUUUGCACCGUCAAGAAUUUUAGUAAGUCUCCAAAUUCAUUCAUUAACCCUCCUUCCUGUUAAAUAUUUAUCAUUAAUUUUAUUAAAUUAAAACAUAAAUUUUUAUAAAUCUAAAGUGUAAUUUAUGAGCCGGGUUAUUCAAUCCAAAAAAAAAAAAUCAGCCAAGACUCUUUGGACAAAUUGCUUGAGUAAAACCAGAAAAUGAAUAACAAUUUUGAUGGAUUUUGAUUACAAAUGAAUUGAGGCAUAAUGCCAUUACAUAUACCAUGCAUUCAGCUGGUCAAAAUGAGACAGACAUCACCUAAUCAUCAACCUAACUCCACUAAGUAGCCUUGAAACUUAUGAAAACAUAACUUGCACACAUAGGUACGCUGAUUUAUCAAUCUAUCAGCACCUAAUUACAUCAAACAUGUUACCAACUUAGUUCAAAUCAAACUAAGCAAGAAAACAUUAACUUAAAGUAACAAAAAAUGAACAGCAGCAUGAACUUCAGCUGCAACUGCAUGGCUGGAGCAGCUCUGCUUCUUGUCUGCAUGCCGGCCAACUUCAACAAGAUCUGAGUAAGGCUAAUUUGUCCAGAAGUUGCAUCAUGCAAAACUAUUUAAUGGCUUUUAGGUAGCUUUGUCAACGGCAAAAAAAAUGAGAAAAUUAGUCAAAUUUCUUCCAUUUUUAUCUUUAAAAAUUUGGUUUUGUGCGUCAACAUGAAGUACAUGUGGCACGUACAUGCAAACUGUCUGAUUAUUUAGACAUCUACACUAGUUUUUAAAGGUAAAAAUAGAAGAAAAUUUUAAUAAACAAGACCAAUUAACUCUUUUAUCUAGCAUACAAGAAUUAUUCUAUACAUCUUUCAAUAAAUGGGGAAAAUUACAUCCACACAUUCUCCACAUUUCAGACCUGUAAUUCUAGCCAAUUGGUCACAAGCAUACAUGUCCCAUUUCAAUAUUCAAAGGUCUGCUUUGAUUAUUUUAUUUUGUGUUCUGUUGUCGCCCCAAAAUAGUUCCACUUGGCACAUCUCCAUACAUUUCAAACAUACCAAAAAUCUGCUGGCAAGCAAUACAAGACAAGUUCCAGCCACUUCAACAUUUGGCUCCUGUUCAUUGCCAAAAGAAAAAAAUAAACAUUUUUUAUAUUUAAUUGAAGGUCAAAAACACAUAAAAAGACAACCGGACAGCUAGUAUUUCAUCCAAUCUUCACAACAUGUCUGUGUGCGUGCAGAUCCUUCACUUCCCAGAAGCCUUUAGCGCGUAUUCUAUUAUAAAAUCACAGAUUACUAUUUAAAUGAUAAAUAAAUUAUUUAAAGUAUGAAAAUAUACAUGUUUUUUUUUAUUGGCUUAAGGGCGUAAAAAAUCCUUAAAUUUUUUUUUUAAAAAAGACAAUUAAAUUUCUCCUUUUUUUACACUCAAUUGAGCACUUAAAGUUUUAAAAUGCAUCAAAAAUACUCUCAAACUUCUUCCGAAAAAACAAUUAAAUCCUUAUUUUCUUUCCCACUCAAUUGGGUGCUUGAACUUUUUCAUAAUAUUUUUUUGGGCGAUUUAAUGAACCAUACAAGUUUCAAGGCUAAAAGAGGCAAAAGAAAAAGAAAAAGAAAAAGAAGCUAAAAUGACUUUUUGUUUGUAAAGUCAAAAAAUACCAAAUAAAUCAUUAUGUCUUUUUAGUUUUAAUUUUUUACUUGAUUAAAAGAGAAAUAAUUAACGAAUGAAAAAUAGCUAUUCCUAAAUAAAUUUAUCAGAAUUUAUAACAAAUGAGAUUUUAGAUUUGAAGUAUGAGGUUAUAUAUAUUAUAUAAGUAUACCUGUUUUUAUGGAAUCGGUGGAUUAUAUUUUCGACAGUCUUCUUCCCCAAGCGUAGUGAAUAGAGCACAAUUUUGUUCUUUUGGAUGGAAAAGAAUUUCUACAUUAAUUAGAUUUGGUUGACAGGCAAAUGAAUAGAUACACACAUUUUUUACGUGUUAUUAAGGAAGAAGACUAAGUCAAUCUACUUUGUAAUCUCAUCAAUCUUAAUUUUUUUAGUUGUUUAGGGAGUUCAAAUGAAAUACAAGAUUUUGCUAUAAAAAAAAAAAGCAUCCAAUUUUAAGAAUGAAAAAUAUACGGUAAAAAGAAGACUAAUGGUUGUUGAUGAUUGUGAAAAAUACAAAAAUUAUUUGUUGCCUAUAAAUACCAUUCCUAUCCUUCAUCUUCCUCUACAAACAUAACAUGGCCUCCUAUCUCUUUCUCUGCCUAUUCCUCUUCUUUCCCCAUCUUUAUGCUUCUUUUUCUUCUUCAGGAUCUCACUCCUGCUCUUCGCUAAUCCAGUUCAAGAAUUCUUUUUCCAUCACUCAGACAGAUGUUGCUUCUUCUUAUUGCGAUGAUCAAUCUUAUCCCAAGACAGAUUCAUGGAAGGAGGGUACAGAUUGCUGCUCAUGGGAUGGGGUCACUUGUGACCACCUAAAUGCUCGUGUUAUUGUCCUUGACUUGAGUUGCAGUUGGCUAUAUGGCAACUUCCCUUCCAAUACCACUCUCUUCCUUCUUCCUCACCUUCAAAAACUCAACCUUGCCUACAAUUAUUUUAAUCUUUCCAAAAUUCCAUCCGAGUUCGGUCGGUUUAUAAGCCUAUUCUACCUCAACCUUUCCAAUACAGGGUUUGCAGGAGAAGUCCCAUCCCAAGUCUCCCACCUGUCAAAAUUGGUUUCACUUGAUCUCUCCUGUCGGGCUGAUGCACAAACAAUUGACAAACAUGCUCUGGAGGGACUUGUUCACAACCUAACCGAGGUCAGACAUCUGUUUUUGGAUGGAAUCAACAUGUCUUCUGUUAAUGCUCAUGUCUUCAUGAAUCUAUCCUCUUCUCUAAGGUCUCUCAGUCUUGCUUUUUGUGAUUUGCAAGGAAAAUUCCCAAAAAACAUUUUUGAUUUGCCAAACCUCAAUCUCCUCAACUUGGGAGGCAACCAAAACCUCAAUCUUGAUCCUUUGAAGUUCAAUCGGAGCAGCAAUCUUGAACAUUUGGAUCUGUCGUGGAUGUCCUCCUCUACAGAAAUUGAUUCAGUUGAUAAUCUACAGGCCUUAAAGUACUUAGAUCUAUCAGGAAAUUCUUUCUUUCAAGGAUUGUCUGUCUCAAUCACAAAUUUAUCAUCUUUGGAGUACUUGAUUCUUAGAGGCGCAAAUGUUUUUGGAGGAUUGCCUGACUUGACGGGGAAUCUUGUGUCCUUGAAGUUUUUAGAUCUCUCCCAGUCCAACUUAUCAGGACCGGUUCCAAGAUCACUGGGAACCUCUUGCAACUCACUCAUUUAGACUUGUCGCAGAACCAAUUGAGUGGACAAAUUCCAAGAUUAUUGGGGAACCUCUUUCAACUCACUCAUUUAGACUUGUCGUGGAACCAAUUGAGUGGACAAAUUCCAAGAUCAUUGGGGAACCUCUUGCAACUCACUCAUUUAGAUUUGUCGAUGAACCAAUUGAGUGGACAAAUUCCAAGAUCAUUGGGGAUCAUUGGGGAACAUCUUGCAACUCACUCAUUUACUUGUCGGUGAACCAAUUGAGUGGACAAAUUCCAAGAUCAUUGGGGAACCUCUUGCAACUCACUCAUUUAGACUUGUCGGUGAACCAAUUGAGUGGACAAAUUCCAAGAUCAUUGGGGAACCUCUUGCAACUCACUCAUUUAGACUUAUUGGUGAACCAAUUGAGCGGACAAAUUCCAAGAUCAUUGGGGAACCUCUUGCAACUCACUCAUUUACAGUUGCCGGUGAACCAAUUGAGUGGAAAAAUUCCAAGAUCAUUGGGGAACCUCUUGCAUCUCACUCAUUUACACUUGCCGAUGAACCAAUUGAGUGGACAAAUUCCAUUGUCAAUUCUAAACCUAACGCAGCUGGAAUACUUUGUAAUAUCUAAAAAUUCUUUAGAAGGUUCCAUUCCAGAUGAGGUAACCGCUUUUCCUAAUCUAAUAUAUUUACACUUAAAUGACAAUUUACUCAAUGGAACAUUUCCGUCAUGGUUGUUUACUGCUCCCUCCUUAAAGGAAAUAUAUCUCUCUCAAAAUCAAUUCAGUGGGCAUAUCAAAGAAUUCCAAUCCAAAUCACUAGAAUUGAUAGCGUUACAGAAUAAUAAACUCCAUGGUUCUCUUCCAUCUUCAAUAUUCCAACUUCUCAAUCUUACCGACCUCGUUUUAUCCUCAAAUAAUCUUAGUGGUGUCAUAGAGUUUCGCAUGUUCUCAAACCUUCCAAAUCUAAAACAUCUCGACCUUUCAUAUAACAGCCUAUCCUUAACAUCUAAUACUACUUCUACUGUUAAUCAUAUAUUGCCUAAUCUUACAGGCUUACUUUUGUCAUCUUGCAAUCUUGGUGAAUUCCCCCAAUUUUUAAAAGGGCUUAAAAGUUUGGAAAGCUUAGACCUCUCUUGCAACAAAAUUGAAGGCAAGAUUCCACAGUGGAUGCAAGAGGUGGGGAAUGUCUCUUUGACUUACUUAAACGUAUCUCACAACUCUUUGACGAAGUUGAGCACUUUCCAUGGAAGAAUAUUGAAUUUCUUGACUUAAGCUCCAAUUUGAUCAGUGGAAAUCUUCCGAUUCCAGCUUCGACCAUCAAUGUCUUUUUGAUCUCAAAUAAUAGUUUCAAUGGAGAGGUCUCUUCUUUAAUAUGCAAUGCCAGUUCUCUUCGAAUUCUUGAUUUGUCCCACAAUAACUUGAGUGGAACAAUUCCGCAAUGUUUUGGAAAUUUGAGCAACAGCCUUGAAUUCUUGAAUCUGAAGAAGAACAUGUUUUAUGGGACGAUUCCUCCAACAUUUGCAAAGGGAUGCCAAUGGAGUAAUUUCAACUUAAAUGGAAAUUUGUUAGAAGGGCCUUUGACACCAUCCAUCCUUAAUUGUAAUGGUCUGGAAGUGCUAGAUCUUGGUAACAACAAGAUCAAUGAUACAUUUCCUCAUUGGUUGGGAAAUCUUCCAUAUUUGCAAGUUCUUGUAUUGAAGUUAAAUCAUAUGCAUGAUUCCUUGCGUGUCAAUAGCUCCAAGUCUAGCCCUUUUUUCUCUAAAAUCCAAAUUUUUGACCUCUCAAGUAAUUAUUUUACUGGACCCCUACCAGUGAGAUACAUCAACAGCUUCAAGGCUAUCAUAAAUCUAGAGAAGAUUGGGAGUACAUUGUUGUACAUGGGGGUGUAUGAUCGGAUUGCUAGUGGCUUCUAUACCUAUUCCAUUGGAAUUGUUAUGAAAGGACAAGAUAUGGAAUUGGUGAAAAUUUUCACCAUGUGGAUGAUCAUUGAUCUAUCAAACAAUCAGUUUGAAGGGGGUAUUCCAAAGGUUAUUGGGAAGCUUAACUUACUGAAAGGGCUCAACCUUUCUCAUAAUAACCUUAAUGGUGGUAUCCCCACCUCAACAGGGAAUUUGACAAGUCUUGAAUGGUUAUGUAGUUUUAGAUGUUAAGGAUAGGCUGUUAUAUGAAAGGUCGCGAUGUUUUAGAUUUGGAAGGUUUGAGAACAUGCGAAGCUCUAUGACACCACUAAGAUUAUUUGAGGAUAAGCUGAGGGAGGUAAGAUUGAGAAGUUGGAAUAUUGAAGAUGGAAGAGGACCUUCGAGUUUAUUAUUUUCUAGAUCUAAAUAUUCUAGUGAUUUGGUUUGGAAUUCUUUGAUAUGACGGAAGUGUUCCAUUGAGUAAAUUGUCAAAUAACACUAAAUAUAUUAGAUUCGGAACAGCGGUUACCUCAUCUGGAAUAGAACCUUCUAAAGAAUUUUCAGAUAUUUCCAAGUAUUCCAACUGCGUUAGGUUUAGAAUUGACAAUGGAAUUUGUCCACUCAAUUUGUUUGAUCCCAAGUCUAAAUGAGUGAGUUGCAAGAGGUUUCCAAGUGAUCUUGGACCGGUCCUGAUAAGUUGGAAUCGGAGAGAACUAAAAACUUCAAGGACACAAGAUUCCCCAUCGAGUCAGGCAAUCCUCCAAAAAAAUUUGCGCCUCUAAUAAUCAAGUACUCCAAAGAUGAUAAAUUUGUGAUUGAGGCAGACAAUCCUUGAAAGAAAGAAUUUCCUGAUAGGUCUAGGUACUUUAAGGCCUGUAGAUUAUCAACCGAAUCAAUGAAUUCUGUAGAGAAGGACAUCCACGACAGAUCCAAAUGUUCGAGAUUGCUGCUCCGAUUGAACUUCAAAGUAUCAAGGUUGAGGUUUUGGUUACGUCCCAAGUUGAGGAGAUUGAGGUUUGGCAAAUCAAAAAUGUUUUUUGGGAAUUUUCCUUGCAAAUCACAACCAGCAAGACUGAGAGACCUUAGAGAAGAGGAUAGAUUCAUGAACACAUGAGCAUUAACAGAAGACAUGUUGAUUCCAUCCAAAAACAGGUGUCUGACCUCGGUUAGGUUGUGAACAAGUCCCUCCAGAGCAUAUUUGUCAAUUGUUUGUUCACCAAACACAGAGGAGGAGAGAUCAAGUGAAACCAAUUUUGACAGGUGGGAGACUUGGGAUGGGACUUCUCCUGCAAACCAUGUAUAAGAAAGCUUGUAAACCGACCGAACUCGGACCUAUCUUCAAACAUAUUAAAUACCCAUUCACUUCAAUUCUACUAUUCUUAAAUCAUUAAAGUUUUGUGGAAAAUAUGCUUCUUGGAUAAAAAUUAUUCAACACACAUGCCUUGAAUUUUAUGCAAUAAAAUAAAUCAAUAUAGGCCACACAUGCUUUGAAUUUUUAAGUAGUCCACAAUUUUGUUCGUUUGUGUGCAAGAUUCUACAUUGCUUGACAGCCAUACAUACUAAGUAAAUAGACACCCACAUUGUUUACGUAUUAUGAGGAAGAAGAUUAAGUCAAUCUACUUUGUAAUCUCAUCAAUCUUAAUUUUCUCAGUUGUUUAGGGAGUUCAAAUGAAAUACAAAAUUUUGGAAAAAAAAUGUAUCCAAUUUUGUGAAUGAAAAAUAUAUGGUAAAAAGGAUUUGGUAUGGAUACUUCGGCCCGGGUAUCAAUACUCAGAGUAAGUUAAAGCAUCAGUGGAUGAAGAAGGAUCUGGUUGGUGCAAAUGAAGUUAAAGCAUUUGUGCUGUGUCUUCAUAAUUUCUUGUUUAGUAGUCUGUCAGAAAGUUUUUCCUAUGGUGAAAAGUUGCAUUGGUAUGUGUCUGUUUUUAUGAUUGUACCAAUUCCUCUGUAUUUCAUUGCAUUUCGUACUAUUUGUAAGGGUUUAGUUCGAGUGUAACAUCUUGUAUGGUGCAACUAUGUGUGUCUUCUUUCUUGAAUUUCAAUUUUUAGUAAACAUUGUACUGCUCACCAUAAAAAAGGAUACAUGUAGAAUUACAAAAGAUUCAAUUAUUCAAGUUUGAGUUGCAUUUAUAAAGACGUGGCGAUGAGAAUUCAUGAACGUAAGGUAUGGUUUGAGCCCUUUUGCCAUAUGCAUUUAUGUUGCAGAUGUUCAAAUAUUAAUUUAAGAGUAAUAUUUACAAUAGCAUUGCAGAGUAACAUAUUUAAGAUUGGAUUACACAGUCAAAAGAUUGCAGCAACGAUGAGAUUAAUACAAUUACAGGAAUUGGUAUCCUACAUGGCUUUUAGGCACGUAGCUUCAUUGACGAUGAGAUAAUUUUAGGAGGAAGCAACAGCAAGUGUGAAGUCAAUAGACAAUUGAUAGUCUUUAUUCUUUUGUGUGGAAAAUUAUUUGGGACCAAACUUAACGUGUUAUAAGGAAGAAGACUUUGUAAUCUCAUGAAUGUUAAUUAUUUUACUUCUUUGGUAAAAAAAAAGGAAUUAAUUUUAUGAAUGAAAAAUAUAUGGUAAAAAGGAAAUAGUUGUUGAUCACUAACAACAUGAUGAUUGUGGAAAUACAAAAAUUCCCAUAUAUGUGUUGAAUUCUGCAUAAUGUAAAUGUCCCGCAUUGCAUGUGAAUUCUGCAAUAGACCAAAUUUUACGUGUUAUAGUCCUUUAAACUGAGUUAAUGAAAAGUAAUCAUUCUUAUCAAAAUUAGUUAUACUCUUAAUUUAUAAUAAAAGAAAGAGUAAUUUGAGUUUAACUCAAAGGUUAAUAUGUCAUCAAUGGGCGAUGGCAUGGCGCUACCAUGUCAGCGAUUAUUUUCUUCUUUGAGUUAAGGUGAUUUCACCAAUUUUAGUUUACUUUUUAACUUCAAUUUAGGUUUAUGCUUAUUAGCUUCGAAGAUUCUAUGUGGGUGCCACAAUCAAAGGGUGAGUAAAAAGGGUUAAAAAUAAUUUUUUUUAAAAUAUUUUUAUUUUUAUUAAAAAUUUAGAAUUAGAAUUAGACAAAUUUUGUAAAUGUUAAGGGCUAACUUUAUUGAAUUUUUUUUUUCAGAAUUCGAACUAAAAUGACAAAUUUUGUAAAAAGCGCUAAAUUUGUUGAAUUUUUUAUAUUUAAGAUCAAAUUGAUAGAAUGUGUAAAUAUUAGAGGUUAAAUUCGUUAUUAGAUAAAAAAAAUCCACAUCAGCUUUCCGUCACUCAUCUAACGACAACUAAAGGGAGAGUGAUUAAAAUAUUUAAUUUCAAAAAGUUUAGCAACUAAUUGGAAAAUUUAAUAGUUGGGUGACUAUUUUUAUAGUUUACAACUUUUUUGGUCACAUGACUAUUAAGUGACACUUUUUAGUUGGUAUAAUAAUAAUUUUUAUCCUCAAUUUUUAUACUUUCUGUCAAUUUAACUCUAAUUAUAUAAAAUGAUUACAAAAGUGAAAUUCUUUUUAAAUUUUACAAAAUUCUAAAAAUUAAAAAUUAAAUGAAAGUAGAUAAAAAUUUCAAAUAUAAAUAAAGUGAGAGAAAAUGAGGGAAAUAUUAUUUUUAAACCCUCCAAAUUUUCUUUGUAUUAUUUGUAAAGAAAUAUCUAAUAUCCAUUCUUUUAGAAAACAUAGAAAAAAGUAAAAAAAAAAAAGAUUAAGUAAAAUUAUCUGUAUAUAAUCUGCUUUUAUAAUUUGGGUUUUUAAAAAUAAAUUUAAAUGAAUUGAAAAUUCGAAUUGAGUUUGAAAAAGAAAAUUUUGUGGUAUAUUUUAUAUUUUUGCUAGAAAAAUGGCAUCAAAGUUGAUUUUGUAAGCUUUUGUAAUAUAGUUACGGAUGUUCUUCAAGGGCAUGAAACUCAACUUGAAAAUUUUACUAAUUUGGUUGCAAAAAACAUUGAGGAAGCGUAUAAUGAUCUAACCUUUUUUUUGUUUUGUUCUGUUUUUAAUUUGUUAUGGGAUUCUAUUGAAUGAUAAUUUUUUUUAUUUCCCAUACAUAUUAGUUCUUCAACAACAACAUAUUCGAGAUUUUAUUUUUCUAGAAUUUUUAUAUAGAAGUUUAUAUUUUUUAAAAAUAAUUUUGAGUUUUUUUUAUAAUUUUUAUACAGAAGUUUAUAUUUUUUAAAUUGGCAAAAAAAAUUAUAAAAACAAAAUACUAGAAUUGUUAUUAUAGCAACUACAAAGUGUCAUUUAACAAUAGGGUGACCAAAUUGUAACUUUUUUCGUUAAGUGACCAAAACGAAGAUUUACCCAUAGUUCAGUGGCUAAUUAUGUAGUUUACCUUUUCAUAAUUAAAAAAUAGUUGUUAAGUUUUUCUUGUAUUAGAUAACAUUUUAGAUGGUAAAAACCCUCUUUAGUCCCUCUCAAUUUUGAUAUUAAGUAAAUUGGUCCAUUUUAAAAAAAAUUAAAGCAAUUUAAUCUUUGUUAAUUUCGAAAGUGAGCAACUAAGAACAAUUAAUCACAAUGUCAAUAUUUUCCAUCAAUUGUACAUAUUUUUAUUGGUAUAAUAACAAGUUUAUAAACUUGUUUACAUAUUCUGUCAAUUUGAUCUUGAUUUAACAAAUUUAUCCCGCAACAAUUACAUAUUCUAUUAACAUUUACAUAUAAUAUAUAAACAUCGAGAGCUUAUUUUGUUAUUAUAUCAAUAAAAAAUAUAUACAAUUUACAGAAAGUAUUAACACAAUGAUUAAUUGUUCUUAGUUGCUCCCAUUCAAAAUUGAUAAUGAUUAAAUUGCUCUAAUUUUCUGAGAGGAAUCAAUUUGUUCAAUAUAGAAAUUGAGAGGGACGAGAAAUGUGUUUUUAUCCAUUUUAGAUACCAACAAGUGUUUGGCGUAGUGGCAAAUCAUAUUACAUUCUCAAGGAGAUAAUGCGUAUUCAGACGUUGGAGAUAAUAAUGUUGUGUGCGGUAUCCACCGAUCUUGAACACGAAUUGUAAAACAUAUAUAAAGAAUAAAAAAAUAACAUCUUAAUUUAAAUAAUUAAUAAAUUUUAAUUUGAAAAAAUUAUUUUGAGAAACAUAAGUUUUAGUAAGUAGUAAAACUGAAUUAAUUUGAAUUUAAACUUAACGCAACUCGAUUUGAUUAUAAAGAAGUGAUAAUUUGAAUCCAAAAUGACAUGAUCUUAAAAUGAUUUGAAUUAAUUGUCAAACCCGAACGACAAAACUCGAAAUGAUGCAAUCCAAAAACGCUGGUUAAAAUGAUGCAAUCCAAUCGUAGUAAGUUUAACCUGCUGCUUUAGAUUUUGCAUUUUGGUUAAUUGGCUUGUGUUAUGUGUUUCUCUGGCAUCAGCCGAUAUGUGGAUUUGCCUCUCGUGAUGCACUACCAUUCAAGAAGCAUAAUGAUUUGUUCUACAUUGAUGACAAAGAUGUGGAGUUUAAAGAAGUAAGAACUGAUCAACAAUAUUCGAGGUUCUGUUGUAUGUUGCCUUAUUAAAUAAGUCUUCACUUAAAUUCCUAUGUUGCCUUAUGUAUGUAGGUUCUUGAGUCACCUUUACCAAAAGCACCACUUGAUACAUCUGUUACAUCCCACUGGCUUGCGAUUGAAGGCAUUCAACCAGCAAUUCCCGAAAAUGCUUCAAUUGAAGGUACCGUCUUAGCUAACCUAAAUAUUUUCUCGAAGCUAUUUGUGUUGAAUACUCUCAUGGUUCAUGUUCUUUUCUGGUUUUAUCACUUUAAUCUAAUACGACUUAUCUUCAUUUCUACAUGGAAUUGGUAGUUUGCUUUCCAUGCAGCACCUUCUGAUGGUAAAAAGGCUGAAUACAAAGAAGAUGGGCUUUCCGUUGAUGUCAAAUUACCUGUUAAGCAUGUAUUAUCUAGAGAGCUUCAAGUAUGUUGUACAUCUUCAGCAACAUUUUUAUGUUAAAAUACAUUUUGCACAGAAUGUUAUUAAAAGACUAAUUUGGUUGUCAUGCAGCUUUACUUUGACAAGAUCGUGGACAUUACCAUGAAUAAAUCAGUCUCAGUUCUCUUUAAACAAGCAUUACUGAGUUUGGCAACAGACUCGGGAUUACAUCCUUUAGUUCCUUAUUUUACAUAUUUCAUUGCGGAUGAGGUUGUCUUAAAGAUCUUUGAUACCUCAUUAUAUAUGUGUGUUGCAAAGAACUUUUGGUUGGUUAUCUCAAGCUUACAUUUUUGCCACAUUUAUCUCAGGUUGCACGGAAUUUGAAUAAUUUCCCUCUCAUGUUUGCUUUGAAGCGUAUUUGCAGCUUCUUGAACCUGAAAUAAAAAGACACGAGGCCUGGUGUGUUUAUGGGGCCCUGCUGGUAAGUUUAACAUCAAAUUUGGUACCAGUUUAUGAGCAUCGUUUCAUUUAUUUGCUGUAGAACUAACAACACUGCAUAAAAUUUCCACUAACAGCGUGCAGCUGGACUGUGCAUGUAUGAUCGGCUUAAAAUGUUCCCCAGUUUGCUAGCACCCCCAACUCGUCCCAUCUGGAAAAGCAACAACAAAGUUGCGACAAGUAUGAUUUCUUCGAACCAUCAUAUUUACACUUAAUCCACAAGUCUCUUCUCCCCCUUUACGAUAUUCCUUUUUCUGAUCAAUCAAGAUAAACGAAAAGCAAGCACGGACACCUUGAUGCAGCAGCAACCACCUGCCAAGAAAAUAGCAACUGAGAGUGCAAUAGGUAUGAUGCCGAUAAAUUCCACGCAAACUGAUUUACAAGGGGCAGUUAGCGGCUUUUCUACCACCGUAGGAGGUUCCAAUAUCGGUGUAUCAUCAAUGUCACGGCCGUUAUCAAACGAAAACAUGCUAGGAAGGGAGGUUGGGGGUCGAGUUUCAAAGACAUCAACCGUUCUAGCUCAGGCUUGGAAGGAAGACACAGACCCGGGGAACUUGUUAGCAUCAUUAUUUGAACUUUUUGGUGAAAGUAUGUUAUCAUUUACUCCCAAACCUGAGCUUUCAUUCUUCCUUUGAUUAAAUUUCACCUCCAAAAGCUAUGGUUUUUGAAGGAAUUUGUGUAAAUUAUCCCCAUAUUCUUUUCAUUCUUACUGUGUUUAUCUUUGUAAGUCUUCCUUUUUUCCUUGCUCAUAAAUGUAUUGUAGUUAUCAAAAAAUAUAUUCUACUUUGGAUUUUAUUUAUAUUAAAAUUUAGGUUAAAUUCUGCUAUUAGUCUCUGUACUUUACGAAAAUGAUGGAUUUAGUCCUUAUACCUUAAUUUGAUCAAUUUUAGUCAUUGUAUUUUUUGAAUUGGUCAAUUUUAAACCAUUUACUUUUUGAAUUUUGAAAUUUUAGUCUUGAUUCAAAUAAUAUUAAUAAUAAUUAAUACCUAAACAAUGCUCCUUUUCCCAAGGUACCUAAUUUUUAUUUUGGCCAUAAGUAUUACUAAAACUAUUCUUCCAUUACUCAUUUUACACCAAAAUGUUAUAUCGGCUAAAAAGAUUCCAACAAAUAAUAGAUUGUAUGUCAUAUAAGCUUUUAAAAAUAAUUAUUAAUUAAUUAAUUUUUUUAUAUUUUUCUUUCUUAUUCCUUUAUAAUGUUUGACAAUGCCGAUAAUGUUUGAAAUUGGCCCACUUGAGGUCGAAACGUUGGUGAUUAAUUUUGGUUUUGAAUUUCACCACCUACUUCUCUGACCUGAGGGAAACUAGUGUUUUCAAAAACAGAUUGAUUCAACUAGUUGGAUAGGAAAUCGGUCCGGAAAUAGGGGUUGAAUCGAUUGACUUGCGAACAAAAACAAAUCGGUUGAACUAGUUCUCUCCAUUUAUAUUUAUAUAAAUAAUAAUAGUUUUUUUUUACUACAUGUCAAUUUUUAAUUGGUUAAUUUUUUUUUUCAUAUAAACUGAACGGUUUGACUAAUGACGGAGGUACCAAAUUUUAGUCUAGGUACCAAUUUAUGGGUUAAGCCUAUUUCUAAAAUAGACUUUUGACUAAUGGCAGUAGUAACUUGGGAAAAAAAAGUAGUUUAUGUACCACUUGUGACAAAAAAUAAGUUUAGGUACCAACAUGGGAAAAUGAGUAUAAUUUAGAUACCGAUUUAUGAGUUAAGCCUAAUAUAUUUGUCGCAUCAUUUUUUGAAAAUAACAAAACUUAAUAAAUUUAACGGUUAUUGUUUGGUGAUGACUAAAAUUUUAAAAUUUGAAAAGUAGAUGAACUAAAAAUGACCAAAUUAAAGUAUAAAGAUUAAGUCCACAACUUUUGCAAAGUAUAAGGACUAAUAGCAGAAAUUAACCUAAAUUUCAUAUGGGUCAAUUACAAAAAUAAUCACUAAACUAUUCCUUUAGUUCUAUUCUAGUCACUCAACUAUAGAGGUGCUCAUGAGCCUGGCCAGGUCAGGCCUAAGCAUGAUAUUAAAGUACUUUAUGCUUGCUCAAGCUCGGCUCGGCCCAAAAUAUGAGCUUAAAAUUUUGCCUAAACUCAUCCAUAUUUGCAAAAGACUAACCCAAGCUCAUUUUAGGCAUGCCCAUAUAAUUUUUAGUUUUUUUUUUAAAUAUUUAUAUUAUAUUAUUUUAAUAUUUAAUAAUUUAAAUAUUUUUUAUUUAUUGAAAAUUUUUAUAUAGUCAUCUUAACAUUAUUUUAAUGUUUACAUUAUAGUAUUAUUAUAUAUUUAAUAUAAGUUUAUUUUUUUAAUCUGUUCUAAAUUAUAAAAUAUAAAGUAUUAUACACUUAAAAAUGGGCCGGGCUGGGCUCGAGCUUUGAAUGUUCAAGCCUAAACCCAGCUCAUAUUUUAAACGGGCCUAAUUUAUCACCCUUUGAUUUAUCAAAAUUUAUAACAAAUGAGAUUUUAGAUUUGAAUUAUGAGGCUAUAUAUAUAUAUAAGUAUACACAUUUUUAUGAAAUACAAAAUUUUGCUAAAACAAAAAGCAUAUAAAAGUAUACACGUUUUUAUGAAAUAAAAGAAAAAGCAUCCAAUUUUGAGAAUGAAAAAUAUAUGGUAAAAGCAUCCAUAACUUUUCAAUGUUAAAGAAAAAAAAGACUUAACACCAAUGUUGUGGUAUUAUUUGUUGCCUAUAAAUACCAUUCCUAUCCUUCAUCUUCCUCUACCAACAUAACAUGGCCCCCUGUCUCUUUCUCUGCCUAUUCCUCUUCUUUCCCCAUCUUUAUGCUUCUUUUUCUUCUUCAGGAUCUCACUCCUGCUCUUUACUAAUCCAGUUCAAGAACUCUUUUUCCAUAACAGAGGCUGCUUAUUCGUCUUGCGGCCCUAAAUCUUAUCCCAAGACAAAUUCAUGGAAGGAGGGUACAGAUUGCUGCUCAUGGGAUGGGGUCACUUGUGACCACCUAAAUGCUCAUGUUAUUGCCCUUGACUUGAGCUGCAGUUGCCUAUAUGGCACCUUCCCUUCCAAUACCACUCUCUUCCUUCUUCCUCACCUUCAAAAACUCAACCUUGCCGGCAAUGAUUUUAAUCUUUCCAAAAUUCCAUCCGAUUUCGGUCAGUUUACAAGCCUAUUCUACCUCAACCUUUCUUAUACAGGGUUUGUAGGAGAAGUCCCAUCCCAAGUCUCCCACCUGUCAAAAUUGGUUUUACUCGAUUUCUCCUCUUGGCCUGCUUUCUCUAUGCAAUAUAGAAUGGACAAACAUGCUCUGGAGGGACUUGUUCACAAC
rnacentral:lncRNA from 1 species